GUGGGGAAUAUUGGACAAUGGGCGAAAGCCUGAUCCAGCCAUGCCGCGUGUGUGAAGAAGGUCUUCGGAUUGUAAAGCACUUUAAGUUGGGAGGAAGGGCAGUAAGUUAAUACCUUGCUGUUUUGACGUUACCGACAGAAUAAGCACCGGCUAACUUCGUGCCAGCAGCCGCGGUAAUACGAAGGGUGCAAGCGUUAAUCGGAAUUACUGGGCGUACAGCGCGCGUAGGUGGUUUUGUAAGUUGGAGGUGAAAUCCCCGGGCUCAACCUGGGAACUGCCUCCAAAACUGCAUGACUAGAGUACGGUAGAGGGUAGUGGAAUUUCCUGUGUAGCGGUGAAAUGCGUAGAUAUAGGAAGGAACACCAGUGGCGAAGGCGACUACCUGGACUGAUACUGACACUGAGGUGCGAAAGCGUGGGGAGCAAACAGGAUUAGAAACCCUAGUAGUCC
rnacentral:rRNA from 1 species